CAUGCAGUCGAGGGGCAGCACGGGGUAGCAAUACCCCGGUGGCGACCGGCGCACGGGUGAGUAACACGUGUGCAACCAACCCCGUACCGGGAGAUAACCCGCGGAAACGUGGACUAACACCCCAUAAUACCUUUCCCCCGCAUGGGGGGGAGUUUAAAACCCCGGUGGUACGGGACGGGCACGCGCGACAUUAGGUAGUUGGCGGGGUAACGGCCCACCAAGCCGACGAUGUCUAGGGGUUCUGAGAGGAAGGUCCCCCACACUGGAACUGAGACACGGUCCAGACUCCUACGGGAGGCAGCAGUGAGGAAUAUUGGUCAAUGGGCGAGAGCCUGAACCAGCCAAGUCGCGUGAGGGAAGAAUGGUCUAUGGCCUGUAAACCUCUUUUGUCAAGGAAGAAUAAGCGGCACGAGUGCCACCUUGCCAGUACUUGACGAAUAAGCAUCGGCUAACUCCGUGCCAGCAGCCGCGGUAAUACGGGGGAUGCGAGCGUUAUCCGGAUUUAUUGGGUUUAAAGGGCGCGUAGGCGGGACGGCAAGUCAGCGGUAAAAGACUGCAGCUAAACUGUAGCACGCCGUUGAAACUGUCGACCUGGAGACGAGACGAGGGAGGCGGAACAAGUGAAGUAGCGGUGAAAUGCAUAGAUAUCACUUGGAACCC
rnacentral:rRNA from 1 species